ACACCAACUUUUACAAUAGAAAUCAAGUUUACCACCACACUUAGGAUUGAGCUACCUGGAAGAGGUGCAAACAUAAAAAAAAUUCGCUUCCAGAACAUAUUCCUCCAGUGGCCAUUAUAACAACCUCCCCAUGCACGUCUCCAAUGUGUCCAUUCAUCUGAAGUGCAGGCCCAAGGAACCUUCUAAAGAUCUGAGUGUCCCUCUAGGUCCCAGCCCAUGGCCCCAACAGCCAGUGUGCAGAUGUCAGGGAACAAGUCCGGCCACCACUGGUUGGGUGUAGUGACCCUGGACGUGCUCCAUACUCUAUCUCCCAUGUCAUUUAUCACCAUCCAGGUUAAGUUGGUGGGGGUUGGCACUGGUUGGGCCCAAGGGAGAACUAAGAUACAGUACGGUUCUCCUGGUGACUUUCAAUUUUAAGGGGUUUUCAGUGAUCUGGACCUUCCAGCCAAGCUGAGCUUUGUCCUUCUCUUCUACCGGAGUGGUAGCCAUCAUGUGGGAUGUGUGGAUCCAGGCAGCUAUCCCACCUACCUUGGCGGCUGUUGGGGUAGUCAGCAACACUAGGUAAAGCCUGUAGUGUACAUCUUUAAUACCAGCAUUCAGGAGGCUGAGGCAAGCAGAUCUCUCUCAAAACCAGCCUGGUCUACAAAGAGUUCCAAAAAAGAAAGAAAGGAAGGAAGGACAGAUGGACGGACGGACCACAGUCUUAGGCUCCCAAGUUUGCCCCAAAGGACUUCAGCUCUAAGAUUAUAACAGAACUCAGAAGACAAGUUGGCCUUACUAGAAGACAAAGAAAAAAAUAACACUAUUUGAAGGCAAGGAGUUAAAGAUGACUUGAGCUACCUACAUCUCGGACUGAUUAAUCGAUAGGACCAAAAGAAUAUACAAGACUGAAGAGGGGGGAUGAGGGAGACAUGCAAAAGACAAAAGUAAAGGGUGAAUUUCAGUGAGGUCCUUAAG